GACGGAGGGGGGGCAAGUGUUCCUCGGAAUGACUGGGCGUAAAGGGCCCGUAGGCGGUGAAUCGGGUUGAAAGUGAAAGUCGCCAAAAAGUGGCGGAAUGCUCUCGAAACCAAUUCACUUGAGUGAGACAGAGGAGAGUGGAAUUUCGUGUGUAGGGGUGAAAUCCGUAGAUCUACGAAGGAACGCCAAAAGCGAAGGCAGCUCUCUGGGUCCCUACCGACGCUGGGGUGCGAAAGCAUGGGGAGCGAACAGG
rnacentral:rRNA from 1 species